CAAUUUGGAAAGCUUUCGGAAAACAAGGAUAGGCAAUGAUUGCCAAGAACCUGGUGUUGAGCUCAUAUUUAAAAAGAACUCAAGGAAUCUUCCAUCUACAAACCUAGUUUAGUUAUAAAGGAAACAAUCAGAGUAUCAAAAAGAAGCAAGCAAGAGAAAGCCUUGGAAAAGUUAUGAUCUAGUUGCAAUAACCUCUGUGCAUUCCUGAGCCUGACAAGUAAACAUGAGACAGAAGUUCUGGAUAGGACUUAACUCAAUUUCAGGAAAACCAGACAAUCCCAUAAUGAGGCUGAAGCAAGACCACAUGGAAUAUUGAGGAAGAACUGAAUGACUCUUUCUAAACCAUCUUACAGACAAGAGAUGAAUAAGAGGAAGCAUGAGUGGCAAGUAGAGGAGAAGGGACAUUGCUAAUAUGAAGAGUUGAUAGGAGAUUAAGACAGGUCAAGAACAUGUCAGGUCAGAGCUUGCAAGAAAAUAUGCUUAGCUAAAUGUAAGAUCAUAUUAGGAAUUGGAUAAAAUGAGAAAGCAAAUCCCCAAGGAGUCACGUAACUUAGGAUAAUGAAAAGGGAAGACUUGCUUCCUAGCCUCAGACAACAUGGAAACGUAGAUUGGAAUGUAAGGUGAGAUGGAAAAGGAGCACUGUACACCAAUUGUCCUAGGUUCUUGGAAAGCUUAGACCACAUCUGGAGCCUCCAGUCCUCUACCUCCAUCGUAGAAGGUAGCAGAUGCAUCCUAGAAGAAGCCUGGACAGAACAGAGGCCAACUCAUUUCUAAGAUGCAGGUUAUUCUUGAAAUCCAAGAGCUGCAAAACAAAGAUGGGGUAUACACUGUAAAUUAGGGGGGCGCCUAUGUGAUGACUCACAGUCCCAGAAGAGGUCUGAGUUUGCAAAUCUCUGAGGAGAUGUUCCCAAAGUCUUGACAGAUCUAUGUUAAAGCAGAAACAAGGACAUCAUAUUCUCCAAUAUCACUGUGAUUCAAAUAUGAAUAGUGACCUGAAUGCCAGAAAUGUUAGCCAAGAAAUGGGAAAAGGAAUGAGCAGACCAGAGAUUUGGGUCUGCUGAGAAGACCGUGAACCCAAUGACUUGGAACAAGGACAAUUGUGGAAAGCCUGAAAUUCCAAGAGAAAAGGAGGAAUCUCUGGCCUCCACACUGGGCCUUUCUUGGUAUCCCCUGCUCCGUUUCCUGCCUUCUGUGUGGCAGGAUCUAAGUCUUGGAAUCAUCUGAUGUGUUGAGGAAAGGAGAGCAUUGGGAAGAACUUCCAUCCUGACUCUGUUACUAAUUGUACUGUCUGACCUUGGCACAUCAUUUUCCCUCUCUGGAUCUCAGUUUUUCCACUUAGAUAUGGCAUUAGAGUUGACAUUUGUUACAGGCUGAAUUGUAUCCCCCCCAAAUUCAUAUGUUGAAGUCUGACUCUCUCAAACUGUAACUGUGUCUGGAGAUGGGAUCUUUAAACAGGUGAUUCAGUUAAAAUAAGGAUGUUAGCAUGGGGCUCUAAUCCAACAUGACUGAUGUCCUUACCAGAAGAGAGACGCACCAGGGAUACAUGUGCACAGAGGGAAGACCAUGUUAGGACCAAGCAAGAGGGUGGCCAUCUGCAAGCCAAGGAGAGAGGCCUUGGAGGAAACCAAUCCUGCCCCCACCUUGAUCUUGCACUUUCAGCCUCCAGAACGGUGAGAAAUAAAUUUCCAUUGUUAACG
rnacentral:lncRNA from 1 species